rnacentral:rRNA from 1 species
AGUGAAUAGAUACCCGGGUAGUCCUAGCCGUAAACGAUACUCGCUAGGUGUCGGCCACGGUGCGACCGUUGUCGGUGCCGUAGGGAAAGCCGUGAAGCGAGCCACCUGGGAAGUACGGCCGCAAGGCUGAAACUUAAAGGAAUUGGCGGGGGAGCACCACAGCGGGUGGAGCUUGCGGUUUAAAUUGGAUUCAACGCCGGAAAUCUUACCGGGACCGACAGCAAUAUGAAGGCCAGGCUGAAGACUUUGCCGGAUUAGCUGAGAGGUGGUGCAUGGCCGUCGUCAGUUCGUACUGUGAAGCAUCCUGUUAAGUCAGGCAACAAGCGAGACCCACGCCCACAGUUGCCAGCGUACUCUCCGGAGUGACGGGUACACUGUGGGGACCGCCGCUGCUAAAGCGGAGGAAGGAAUGGGCAACGGUAGGUCAGUAUGCCCCGAAUAUCCCGGGCUACACGCGAGCUACAAUGGUUGGUACAAUGGGUAUCUACCCCGAAAGGGGAUGGAAAUCUCCUAAAGCCAAUCUUAGUUCGGAUUGAGGGCUGCAACUCGCCCUC